GGAUGCGAUCAUACCAGCACUAAAGCACCAGAUCCCAUCAGAACUCCGAAGUUAAGCGUGCUUGGGCGAGAGUAGUACUAGGAUGGGUGACCUCCUGGGAAGUCCUCGUGUUGCAUCCC
rnacentral:rRNA from 1 species